GAUGAACGCUGGCGGCGUGCCUAAUACAUGCAAGUCGAGCGAACAGACGAGGAGCUUGCUCCUCUGACGUUAGCGGCGGACGGGUGAGUAACACGUGGAUAACCUACCUAUAAGACUGGGAUAACUUCGGGAAACCGGAGCUAAUACCGGAUAAUAUAUUGAACCGCAUGGUUCAAUAGUGAAAGACGGUUUUGCUGUCACUUAUAGAUGGAUCCGCGCCGCAUUAGCUAGUUGGUAAGGUAACGGCUUACCAAGGCAACGAUGCGUAGCCGACCUGAGAGGGUGAUCGGCCACACUGGAACUGAGACACGGUCCAGACUCCUACGGGAGGCAGCAGUAGGGAAUCUUCCGCAAAGGGCGAAAGCCUGACGGAGCAACGCCGCGUGAGUGAUGAAGGUCUUCGGAUCGUAAAACUCUGUUAUUAGGGAAGAACAAAUGUGUAAGUAACUAUGCACGUCUUGACGGUACCUACUCAGAAAGCCACGGCUAACUACGUG
rnacentral:rRNA from 1 species